AUUGAACGCUGGCGGCAGGCUUAACACAUGCAAGUCGAGCGGAGAUGAGGUGCUUGCACCUUAUCUUAGCGGCGGACGGGUGAGUAAUGCUUAGGAAUCUGCCUAUUAGUGGGGGACAACAUUCCGAAAGGAAUGCUAAUACCGCAUACGUCCUACGGGAGAAAGCAGGGGAUCUUCGGACCUCGCGCUAAUAGAUGAGCCUAAGUCGGAUUAGCUAGUUGGUGGGGUAAGGGCCUACCAAGGCGACGAUCUGUAGCGGGUCUGAGAGGAUGAUCCGCCACACUGGGACUGAGACACGGCCCAGACUCCUACGGGAGGCAGCAGUGGGGAAUAUUGGACAAUGGGGGGAACCCUGAUCCAGCCAUGCCGCGUGUGUGAAGAAGGCCUUAUGGUUGUAAAGCACUUUAAGCGAGGAGGAGGCUACUGAGACUAAUACUCUUGGAUAGUGGACGUUACUCGCAGAAUAAGCACCGGCUAACUCUGUGCCAGCCGCCGCCGUAA
rnacentral:rRNA from 1 species